UAACGCGAAGAACCUUACCAAGGCUUGACAUACACGAGAACGGGCCAGAAAUGGUCAACUCUUUGGACACUCGUGAACAGGUGGUGCAUGGUUGUCGUCAGCUCGUGUCGUGAGAUGUUGGGUUAAGUCCCGCAACGAGCGCAACCCUCGUUUUAUGUUGCCAGCGCGUAAUGGCGGGAACUCAUAGGAGACUGCCGGGGUCAACUCGGAGGAAGGUGGGAAUGACGUCAAAUCAUCAUGCCCCUUAUGUCUUGGGCUUCACGCAUGCUACAAUGGCCGGUACAAAGGGCUGCAAUACCGUAAGGUGGAGCGAAUCCCAAAAAGCCGGUCUCAGUUCGGAUUGAGGUCUGCAACUCGACCUCAUGAAGUCGGAGUCGCUAGUAAUCGCAGAUCAGCA
rnacentral:rRNA from 1 species